rnacentral:rRNA from 1 species
GAUGAACGCUGGCGGCGUGCCUAAUACAUGCAAGUCGAGCGAACGGACGAGAAGCUUGCUUUUCUGAUGUUAGCGGCGGACGGGUGAGUAACACGUGGAUAACCUACCUAUAAGACUGGGAUCACUUCGAGAAACCGGAGCUAAUACCGGAGAAUAUUUUGAACCGCAUGGUUCAAAAGUGAAAGACGGUCUUGGUGUCACUUCUAGAUGGAUACGCGCUGCAUUAGCUAGUUGGUACGGUAACGGCUUACCAAGGCAACGAUGCAUAGCCGACCUGAGAGGGUGAUCGGCCACACUGGAACUGAGACACGGUCCAGACUCCUACGGGAGGCACCAGUAGCGAAUCUUCCGCAAUGGGCGAAAGCCUGACGGAGCAGCGCCGCGUGAGUGAUGAAGGUCUUCGGAUCGUAAAACUCUGUUAUGAGUGAAGAACAUAUGUGUAAGUAACUGUGCACAUCUUGACGGUACCUAAUCAGAAAGCCACGGCUAACUACGUG